CGCAUUUGAGAGACGGUAAGAGAACACAUUUGGGAGAAAUGGAUCGAGAAGCUUCUGUCCUCUGUUUGGAUUGUCUGUUGCUGGCAAAUAUGGGUUUGCCGUUCGUCACAACUGAGGGUUCCAUGAAGCUCGCGAUUCCUCUGCUAUUCCUCCUCUGUUUCUACAUCGCAUGUUGCCCUUCUUCUUCCUCCUACUGUUCCGCAUUGGUGCUGUUCUAGGUGAGGGAGAGAACUUUGAGACUUUAUACACAUUCCUCCUUUGCUCCUUGUGCAGCUAGCCCUAUACCUUCAUAUGAUCAUCGAGGGGUUUUAUUUGCAAGUGAAAGAUGAAGCAUUAUGCUGAUUAAUCUCCGUUCUCAUAAAAUUUGAAUUUAUAUAAUAUAUGUUGUAAAUUCUAUCAUGAAUGCUUCACAUAUAUUAUAGUUAGAAUCCUUAUUUUGAUUAA